rnacentral:rRNA from 1 species
CCCUUAGAUGUUCUGGGCUGCACGCGCGCUACACUGAUGCGCUCAACGAGUUUUAACCUUGCCUGGAAAGGUUGGGUAAUCUUUUUAAAACGCAUCGUGAUGGGGAUAGAUUAUUGCAAUUAUUAAUCUUCAACGAGGAAUUCCUAGUAAGCGCGAGUCAUCAGACUGCAUCGAUUACGUCCCUGCCCUUUGUACACACCGCCCGUCGCUCCUACCGAUUGAAUGCUCAGGUGAGCCAUUCGGACCUUCAUCAUGCCGGUUUCCGGUUUUGAUGAGGGAAAGUCUUGCGAACCUUAUCAUUUAGAGGAAGGAGAAGUCGUAACA